UACAGAGGUGGCAAGCGUUGUUCGGAAUUACUGGGCGUAAAGCGCGCGUAGGCGGAUUUGCAAGUCGGGGGUGAAAGCCCGAGGCUCAACCUCGGAACUGCCCUCGAUACUGCAAAUCUCGAGUCCGAGAGAGGUGAGUGGAAUUCCUAGUGUAGAGGUGAAAUUCGUAGAUAUUAGGAAGAACACCAGUGGCGAAGGCGGCUCACUGGCUCGGUACUGACGCUGAGGCGCGAAAGCGUGGGGAGCAAACAGG
rnacentral:rRNA from 1 species